rnacentral:rRNA from 1 species
AACGAACGCUGGCGGCAUGCCUAACACAUGCAAGUCGAACGAAGCCUUCGGGCUUAGUGGCGCACGGGUGCGUAACGCGUGGGAAUCUGCCCUUGGGUUCGGAAUAACAGUUAGAAAUGACUGCUAAUACCGGAUGAUGUCUUCGGACCAAAGAUUUAUCGCCCAAGGAUGAGCCCGCGUAGGAUUAGGUAGUUGGUGGGGUAAUGGCCCACCGAGCCGACGAUCCUUAGCUGGUCUGAGAGGAUGAUGAGCCACACUGGGACGGAGACACGGCCCAGACUCCUACGGGAGGCAGCAGGGGGGAAUGUUGGACGAUGGGUGAAAGCCUGAUCCAGCAAUGCUGCGUGAGUGAUGAAGGCCUUAGGGUUGUAAAGCUCUUUUACCAGGGAUGAUAAUGACGGUACCUGGAGAAUAAGCUCCGGCUAACUCCGUGCCAGCCGCCGCCGUAA